GAUCGUAAGGACAUGUGGAGCGCUUAGAAGUGAGAAUGCCGGUGUGAGUAGCGAAAGACGGGUGAGAAUCCCGUCCACCGAUUGACUAAGGUUUCCAGAG
rnacentral:rRNA from 1 species